CAGGUAUCAGUGUCAUUCAAGGACGUGACUGUGGAGGUCACCCAGGAGGAGUGGCACCAGAUGGACCCUUCUCAAAGAACCCUAUACAGAGAUGUGAUGCUGGAGAACUACAGCCACCUGGUCUCAUUGGCUCUCAAGCCCUGCCGCCUCUUCUGCUUCUGCCCCAUGUAGGGGCAAGUUAAUAAGAAAGCUCAUGUGUAUUCUCCCUUGGCACCAAUUGAGUUCAGGCCCUGCAACUACAGCUCUCACAUGCAGAAGCUUUCAUCUUUGCCUCACCUCAUCCAUGAGAUCUUGACCUGAGCUGAAGUCGGAUGUUUAACUGACUGCCACCCAGGCGCCCCGAGAAGUUCCAUUCUACUCCUAGUUGGUUGAAUGUUUUUGGCAUGAAGGAGUGUUGAUUUGUGUCAUAAUGCUUUUUUCUGUGUCUUUUAAGAUGAUCACAUGGUUUUUAUGUUUUAUUCUGUUGAUACCGUGAAUUACAUUGAUGCAGUUUUGUGUAUCACAGCAACUGCAUUCUUGCAUUCCUUGGUCAUUCCCAUGACCAAUUCCACUUGGUCAUGGUGUGUAAUAAAUUUAAUAUGUUGCCAUAUAUCAGUUUGCUGGUAUUUUGAUGGAAAUUUAUGCAUCUGUAUUCAUAAGAGACAGUUGUAGUUUUCUUGUGAUGUCUGAGAGUAUCAGGGUAAUGCUGGCCUUAUCGAAUGAGAGAAGUGUCCUCUUUUCUGUUUUUUGUGAGGGAGAGAUGAUAAAGAAUUUUUAUUCUUUAUUUGUUUUAAAAAAAUUUUUUUAACGUUUUAUUUAUUUUUGAGACAGGGAGAGACAGAGCAUGAACAGAGGAGGGUCAGAGAGAGGGAGACACAGAAUCCGAAACAGGCUCCAGGCUCUGAGCUGUCAGCACAGAGCCCGACGCGGGGCUCGAGCUCACGGACUGCGAGAUCAUGACCUGAGCCGAAGUCGGCCGCUUAACCGACUGAGCCACCCAGGCGCCCCUAUUAUUAGUUCUUUAAAUGUUUGGUAGAAUUCAGUAGUAAAGCCAUCUGGGCAUGGGCUUUAAUUUGUGGGUAGUGUUUAUUCAAUUUCCACACAUUUGUGAAUUUCCCAAAUUUCUGUUACUGAAUUUUUUAAAAAGUAGGCUUCAUACCCAGCGUGGAGCCCAAUGCAGGGUUUGAACUCAUGACUCUGAGAUCAAGACCUGAGAUGAGAUCAAGAGUCAGAAGCUCGGGGUGCCUGGGUGGCUCAGUUGGUUAAGUGUCUGCAGGUCAUGAUCUCAUUCAUGGCUCAUGGGUGUGAGCCCUGCAUUGGGCUCUGUGCUGACAGCUCAGAGCCUGACAAAUGCUUUGGAUUCUCUCUCUCUCUCUCUCUCUCUCUCUCUCUCUCUCUCUCUCUCUCUCUGCCACUCCCCUGCUUGUGCUCUCUCUCUGUCUUUCAAAACAAACAAACAAAAGUCGGAUGCUCAACCAACUGAGCCACCCAGGUGAUUUCUAAUUUCAUUCCAUUGGGAUCAGAUACUCUUAUUUCUGUAUUUUUAAAUUUAUUAAAGUUUGUCUUGUAGCCUAAUACAUGACCUGUCUUAGGGAGUGUUCCAUGUGCAUUUUAGAAGAAUUUGGAUUCUAUUGCUGUUGGGUGAGUGUGGUAUGUAUGUCCAUUAGGUCUAGUUGGUUUAUAGUGUCAUUUAUUUCCUUACUGAUUUCCUAUCUGGUUACGCUAUAUAUUAUUGAAAGUAUGAUAAUGAAGUCUCCAACUAUUAUUUUUUAAUUGUCUUAUUUCUCCAUUCACUUGUCAGUUUUAGCUUCAUAUAUUUUGGGCUCAGUUGUGAGGUGUGUAUAUGUUUAUAAUUCCUAUACCAUCUUCCUAAUGGAUAUACUCUUUUGUCAUUGUAGAAUGUCUCUCAUUAUCUCUAGUAACAUUUUUCAACUUAAAGUCUAUUUUUUGGGAGGUCAUCUGGCUGGCACAGUCAGUAGAAGGGGUAACUCUUGAUCUCAGGGUUGUAAGUUUGAGCCCACAUUGGGUGUAGAGAUUACUUAAAAUCUUUUAAAAGAAAUGUAUUUUUU